rnacentral:rRNA from 1 species
AUGGCUGCUAAUACCGCAUAAGCGCACGGUACUGCAUGGUACAGUGUGAAAAACUCCGGUGGUAUGAGAUGGACCCGCGUUGGAUUAGCUAGUUGGCAGGGUAACGGCCUACCAAGGCGACGAUCCAUAGCCGGCCUGAGAGGGUGGACGGCCACAUUGGGACUGAGACACGGCCCAGACUCCUACGGGAGGCAGCAGUGGGGAAUAUUGCACAAUGGGGGAAACCCUGAUGCAGCGACGCCGCGUGAGCGAAGAAGUAUUUCGGUAUGUAAAGCUCUAU